GAUGAACGCUAGCGGUAGGCCUAAUACAUGCAAGUCGAACGGUAAGUAUUUUAGCAAUAGAAUACGAGAGUGACGUACGGGUGCGUAACACGUAUGCAACCUACCCUUUACAGGAGGAUAGCUCGGGGAAACUCGAAUUAACCCUCCAUGAGAUCACAGUGUGGCAUCACACAGUGAUUAAAACUCCGGUGGUAAAGGAUGGGCAUGCGUCUGAUUAGUUAGUUGGCGGGGUAACGGCCCACCAAGACGAUGAUCAGUAGGGGAACUGAGAGGUUGAUCCCCCACACUGGCACUGAGAUACGGGCCAGACUCCUACGGGAGGCAGCAGUAGGGAAUAUUGGUCAAUGGAUGGAAGUCUGAACCAGCCAUGCCGCGUGCAGGAAGAAGGCCUUCUGGGUUGCAAACUGCUUUUGCCAGGGGGAUAAAAAGACCAUGCGUGGUUAAUUGUAAGGUACCUGGUGAAUAAGCCACGGCUAACUACGUGCCAGCAGCCGCGGUAAGUACG
rnacentral:rRNA from 1 species